UACGUAGGGUGCGAGCGUUGUCCGGAAUUAUUGGGCGUAAAGGGCUCGUAGGCGGUCUGUCACGUCGGGAGUGAAAACACGGGGCUUAACCCCGUGCCUGCUUCCGAUACGGGCAGACUAGAGGUAUGCAGGGGAGAACGGAAUUCCUGGUGUAGCGGUGAAAUGCGCAGAUAUCAGGAGGAACACCGGUGGCGAAGGCGGGUCUCUGGGCCGAUAUUGACGCUGAGGAGCGAAAGCGUGGGGAGCAAACAGG
rnacentral:rRNA from 1 species